AUAAAAAGGAAGAAAGGGUCCUUGUUGCUUAGCGUAGAGGAAAGGCAGAUGUGUGAAGGACUCAUCUGAGCCUGCUUCCAACUCCAAACUGACUGCCGCCUUCCUUCCCGCCUAGACAGCAAAGAUGAAGACUGCUCUGGCAGCCCUGACCAUCGUCCUGCUCGCCGCUGCCGUCUUAUCCCAAUCUCAGACUGGCUCCAGUGGCACCUUUGUGAGCUGCUGCUUUUCCCACGUAUCUAAAAGGAUUCCACUGAGGAUUAUCCAAUCCUUUACAUUCACAAAUGAACAAUGCCGAACACCGGCUGUUAUAUUUAUCCUAAAAAGUGGCCGGCAAGUCUGCGCAGAUGCUCAGGCACCCUGGGUCCAGUUCAGCAUCUCAGAGAUCUCCAGGCAGACCGAAAACAGCCCGCUUCCUCCUUCAGAGUAGGAGAUAAAACACCAGUCCUGGGACGCUCAGCAUGGGCUGAAGAGCACCAACAUUUCCCUUGUUAAUUGUGCAUUUGGCUCCUACAAAUAUCAUGAGCUCUAUUCAAAUCCAACUUUUCUCUUUUGAAAGUUGCGUAACAGGGUGUCCAUCCUGAUUUGCUCUCAAACUGUUCUUUCUCUCCGCACAUCACUCCUGCCUUUACAAUCCUUCCUUUUUGGAUGUGCUCCACAAACAUGUUUUGUGGAGAUGCUGAUGAGGGGAAACAUUUUCGCUCAUGCCAAGCCAAGCCAAGCCAAGCCAAGCCAAGCCAAGCCAAGCCAAGCCAAGCCAAGCUUCGCCUCCUCUGGCGCUUGCAGGGAGCGUGUGUCCGUCUGUGUGGGGCGCAACAGACGCAUCCUGGUAACGGCAGGGCUGCUGGACAGUCUGUGUUGUUCACAGCCUACUGUUGGCUCACCUUGCUGAACAGGUGACUGUCCUUUUCUUUCAGAGUCUGACUCCAGAAAAUAACAGGUUUGUCUGUAUUGAAUGAGAGGAGGCAGCUUCUUAAACAUGCACCGUAAUAAUUAUGCCUCUCCUCCCCAGUUCCCACUCAGCAACCGCCUGGCCAGAGUCCUGGCUCUCUUUCCAGGAGGAUUCCUCCAGGCCCGCCAGCCUCCCACACGCCCGGCUCAGGGUCCAAAUGGCCUCUCUGGUUUCUUUAGGGCAACUGACCGCACAAGGAACCUAAAACCAUUUUGCAAAAUGUGUGGCAUUCCUUAUUUUUCCCUGAGAUUAGUUCUGCGGGGACUAAUGCUGGUGUUUGCUGACUUCUAAUAAAUACACCAAGAUUUUGCCUCCAGUGGCUAUUUUAAAAAUGGUCUCACGUUCUCCCUGCCAGCUUUCGGAGGCUUGUGGAAAGCAAACCUUUGAGGAAAAUGGACGGAUGCUUAUGACUGUGUAUCAGGGAAUGAGAAGGACGCUUUGAGUCAAGAAGGAUGGGAGGUGCAUUUAAAUAAGGUUUUACCACAAAACACAAAAUGUUUUGCAUGCCCAGAGUCCAGUCUAAGUAAUGGGAUGAAUAAAUGAGAGCAUGGCUGAGUUAAUGGCCGUGCUUUUCCAAAUGACAAAGCAAUUAGUGAAGAGCACCUAAUAAGAAGGAUUAAUGGAAAGAGGCAUCAUUAUUAGAGGAAGGCAUAAUUAUGAAGGUAUGUGAAUGUGCUUUAAUUUGAAGGGCUUUCUGAGCAAAAAGAACAUCCCAUGGAUAAAUAUGUCCAUAUAGGCAUAUGCACACACAUAUAUAGCUAUAUAAUUUAUCUGAGAUAUUUGUAUAACUUCUUAAAUAUAAUAAAAUCCCCAAUUGGUUCACAUGCAAACAGUAAUUUUAUUGUAUUUAAAUAAAAUUUAAAAUACAAUGUUUGAAAAAAAAUCACUUACAAAACAGAACAAUGCAUGAGCAGUAAACAAUAGAGAAUUGAUGAAGGAUAUAGAAGCCCAGGAAGCCUUUCUGAGGCAGACUUCCGAAGAAAAGAACAUUUCCAGAAAAGAACAUGCAUGUGGCAGAAUUAGGGAUGGAAGGUCAGGCCUGAAAUUCAGGACAGUGCGCGGAUGGAAUUUUUCAUAGGGCUUGCUCUGCAUCCUGAGGUAUAUGUACCCUUAUCUGUCUUCUGUAUAUCCGUUUGCAUACAUGUGCAACAGCAGAAAUGGGUGUAGGGAACGGGAUAGAAAAGAUUUUAAAUUAAUCAAAACAAACAUUUGCCGGCGCCUGGCGUCCCCAUGUGCGCACUCCUGAACACGUGACGCUGCUGCGGGAACUCGUGCGGCUCAGCCCUGUCUCUGCGCUUGUGGGAGCGCACGCGAUUCGUUUUCUCAAAAUCAGCUUACUGCCUCUUUGCCACUGCUGUGUGACUGUCUUUUUGUUAUCCUUUUCUUUAUCUGUAUAUCAAAUAAAUGUUAUGAAUAAAAUUUUAAAAGCC